rnacentral:rRNA from 1 species
UACGUAGGGUGCAAGCGUUGUCCGGAAUUAUUGGGCGUAAAGAGCUCGUAGGCGGUCUGUCGCGUCGGCUGUGAAAACCCGAGGCUCAACCUCGGGCCUGCAGUCGAUACGGGCAAACUAGAGUACUGCAGGGGAGACUGGAAUUCCUGGUGUAGCGGUGGAAUGCGCAGAUAUCAGGAGGAACACCGGUGGCGAAGGCGGUUCUCUGGGCAUUACCUGACGCUGAGGAGCGAAAGUGUGGGGGAGCGAACAGG